rnacentral:rRNA from 1 species
UCAGGUGGCCUUAAACUAGCUAGCAGCUAGCUCUCUGACACUCUCACAUGGUCGCCCACUGAAGCUAAGCAGGGCAGUACCUGGAUGGGAGACCACAUAGGAAAGCUAAGUUGCUGCCGGAA